CCUACGGGAGGCAGCAGUGAGGAAUAUUGGUCAAUGGACGAGAGUCUGAACCAGCCAAGUAGCGUGAAGGAUGACUGCCCUAUGGGUUGUAAACUUCUUUUAUAUGGGAAUAAAACGUUCCACGUGUGGGAUUUUGUAUGUACCAUAUGAAUAAGGAUCGGCUAACUCCGUGCCAGCAGCCGCGGUAAUACGGAGGAUCCGAGCGUUAUCCGGAUUUAUUGGGUUUAACGGGAGCGUAGGUGGAUUGUUAAGUCAGUUGUGAAAGUUUGCGGCUCAACCGUAAAAUUGCAGUUGAAAAUGGCAGUCUUGAGUACAGUAGAGGUGGGCGGAAUUCGUGGUGUAGCGGUGAAAUGCUUAGAUAUCACGAAGAACUCCGAUUGCGAAGGCAGUUCACUGGACUGCAACUGACACUGAGGCUCGAAAGUGUGGGUAUCAAACAGGAUUAGAUACCCUGGUAGUC
rnacentral:rRNA from 1 species